UAUCGAAGCGUUAGCAUCAUACGCUGACCACUCGUAUUCCCUCUACAUACGCCCUACAGCGUCCUUAAGAAAAAGCACUUGUCUUAUUCUUUUGCUGGACGCCUACGACGAUACAUUUUUAGCGACGAAACCAACGAAGAAUAGUCCAAGAAGGUAAUAAGUAAAGGAAGUGUAUCAGCAACCUAUACACUUCCAUAACGGUCAUCCUUGUGAAAAAGAGUGCAUAAAUACUUUUUCGACUGUGAAGUUCAUUAUUGUAUUCAUAUACAAUCGAACUGAACGAGAGUGCAUUGGUCGACUUGUUACUUCUGCAUUAUUCCGUUGUGUCGCUCGUGAAAAGAUGCUGCGUAUUAAUUUAAAAUAAAGUAUAAAUAUGAAUUAAAAUAAUUGACUAAAAAACAAUUUGAAGAACAGUGAUUAAUAGUUAUAAACGACAAUGGAAAUUGUACAUCAUUAUGCUAAAGUAGAAGAAUGUACAGAUGAAACUACAAUUUCUGAUGAUAACGUCAAAAUGGUUUUGACAGAAGCUGAAAUAAUAGAUAUGGAUGAUAAUAUAGAAAUUAAAUCAGAGGAUGAAAAUGUUCAGUAUCAAUUAUGUCAGAUAAAUAAAGAUGAAAGUGCUGUGGCUUAUCGUGUAGUACAAGUUAGCGAUAAUCAAUUGGAGAAUAGUGAAUUGUCUGUAGCAACUCCUGUAAAUAAUACCGUACAAGUUUUGACUUCUCCAUUAAAUGGUCAGUUAUAUCUGCUUAGUAAUGGAAAUGAAAUGCUUUCUUCAGACUCUACGAGAGAUAUAAUUCCUUGUGUUACCAAAGUAAAAAUAGAACCAUCAGAAAAUCUUGUUCUGGGUGCUAAAAAGAGAGACGAAAAGAGGAGAGCGACACAUAACGAAGUAGAGAAGCGUAGAAGAGACAAGAUCAACAAUUGGAUUUUUAAAUUAGGAGAACUUAUACCAGAAAGUAUAAAUGGAAAUGGUACUAAUGAAGGAGAUAUGAAAGUUAAUUCUGAAUUACAAUGCAUUGGUCAAUUUGUUACUUCUGCAUUAUUCCGUUGUGUCGCUCGUGAAAAGAUGCUGCGUAUUAAUUUAAAAUAAAGUAUAAAUAUGAAUUAAAAUAAUUGAUUAAAAAACAAUUUGAAGAACAGUGAUUAAUAGUUAUAAGCGACAAUGGAAAUUGUACAUCAUUAUGCUAAAGUAGAAGAAUGAUGAAACUAUAUAUACAAUUUGUCACGAUAACGUCAAAACGGUUUUGGUAGAAGCUACAAAUGGUAUUAAUGUAGGAGAUAUGAAAGUUAAAUCUGAAUUACAAAUACAAGGAAAUUAUGCUAGAUAUUUGGGA
rnacentral:misc_RNA from 1 species